rnacentral:rRNA from 1 species
UACAGAGGUCUCAAGCGUUGUUCGGAUUCAUUGGGCGUAAAGGGCUCGUAGGCGGUCUGUUGCGUCGGGAGUGAAAACUUACAGCUUAACUGUGAGCGUGCUUUCGAUACGGGCAGACUUGAGGCAUUCAGGGGAGAACGGAAUUCCUGGUGUAGCGGUGAAAUGCGCAGAUAUCAGGAGGAACACCGGUGGCGAAGGCGGUUCUCUGGGAAUGUCCUGACGCUGAGGAGCGAAAGUGUGGGGGAGCGAACAGG